UACGUAGGGACCAAGCGUUGUUCGGAUUUACUGGGCGUAAAGGGCGCGUAGGCGGCGUGACAAGUCACUUGUGAAAUCUCUGGGCUUAACCCAGAACGGCCAAGUGAAACUGUUGUGCUAGAGUGCAGAAGGGGCAAUCGGAAUUCUCGGUGUAGCGGUGAAAUGCGCAGAUAUCAGGAGGAACACCGAUGGCGAAGGCAGGUCUCUGGGCCGAUACUGACGCUGAGGAGCGAAAGCGUGGGGAGCGAACAGG
rnacentral:rRNA from 1 species